rnacentral:rRNA from 1 species
UUUCCAGACUCCUACGGGAGGCAGCAGUGGGGAAUAUUGCACAAUGGGGGAAACCCUGAUGCAGCGACGCCGCGUGAGUGAAGAAGUAAUUCGUUAUGUAAAGCUCUAUCAGCAGGGAAGAAAAUGACGGUACCUGAGUAAGAAGCCCCGGCUAACUACGUGCCAGCAGCCGCGGUAAUACGUAGGGGGCAAGCGUUAUCCGGAUUUACUGGGUGUAAAGGGGGCGCAGACGGCGAUGCAAGCCAGGAGUGAAAGCCCGGGGCCCAACCCCGGGACUGCUCUUGGAACUGCGUGGCUGGAGUGUCGGAGAGGCAGGCGGAAUUCCUAGUGUAGCGGUGAAAUGCGUAGAUAUUAGGAGGAACACCAGUGGCGAAGGCGGCCUGCUGGACGAUGACUGACGUUGAGGCUCGAAAGCGUGGGGAGCAAACAGGAUUAGAUACCCGUGUA